UACGUAGGGUGCGAGCGUUGUCCGGAAUUAUUGGGCGUAAAGAGCUUGUAGGCGGUUUGUCGCGUCUGCCGUGAAAAUCCGGGGCUCAACCCCGGACUUGCGGUGGGUACGGGCAGACUAGAGUGUGGUAGGGGGAGACUGGAAUUCCUGGUGUAGCGGUGAAAUGCGCAGAUAUCAGGAGGAACACCGAUGGCGAAGGCAGGUCUCUGGGCCACUACUGACGCUGAGGCGCGAAAGCUAGGGGAGCAAACAGG
rnacentral:rRNA from 1 species